AUUGUGUUGAUAUCAGAUCACCCAUGCAUACCAUACAAUGAAUUCAUUUCUGUUCAUCAGAAUUUCAGUUUUUAAGUUUUAUGAGAAACAUUUGGAUUCUUUUAUUUCAUUAGGUGGUCAGUUACCUCUUGACUACAUAGGACAGCAUUUGAUGCAUGAUGACAGAAUUUUGAGCAUGGAAUAUAUUUGCAUUUCUAUGGAUGAAAUAGGGUUAUUAAUACUGGCGAUCUCAUAGUUCUUGGUCUGUGAAGAUAUGUUGUUAGGUGCUCCAGUUUAUUUUCCUGUUGGGGCUUUCUUCGCCUUCCACCUAAGCUCCACAGGGAAGGCCCGGAGCCAAACCCUACGCUGCAUAGGGUCUUUCUAUACCGCUAAUAUAUUUCUGAAAAGUCGAAAGCUAAGUGAUAAAGGUUUUGUGAAAUCUUCUAAAUUGUUAAUGGGUAAAAGGAUUGGAGUUCGCGUACAGACUUGAAAUAGAUGAAUAAAGUUACAUGCAUGAAAUUGCUGUAUAUAUUUUUCACUAGUAAUUCAUAAGUUAACCUAACUCUUCUUUUGCCCCUUUUUAAUAGAAAUUGUGCGUUGAUUCUCUUUAGCGAUUCCAAUUAUUUUUCCAUGGUAUUUUAUUUCUUGUUUGUUUUCUGUUUUGUGUGUGCAAAACACAUGGAUGCACAAAGAAAGACACAAUGAAAAGAUGAAUCUUGAUGUGAUUGCAGUUAGAAUGUUGCUUAUAGGUUCACUUGUUUAGCUUUAAGGCAACUGUAGCUAAUGUGUUUUCCCCCUUCGGUAAUUUAGGUACUUGCCGCCAGAAUGCUUUGAGCUCACCAAGAUCCCUUUAAUAUCAUCGAAGGUUGAGAUGUCUGGUCAGCUGGGGUUCUAUUCUACUAAAUGCUCUUUGGCAGACGUCCUUUUGGGCAUGACCAAUCUCAAGAACGAAUAUUGCGUGAAGACACAAUUAUUAAAGCUCGCAGGGUUGAAUUCCCCUCAAAGCCUUCUGUCUCAAAUGAGGCAAAGGAUUUUAUUCGUCGAUGUCUAACGUAUAACCAAACUGAAAGACCAGAUGUUCUAACUGUUGCUCAAGAUCCGUAUCUUACAUACUCAAAGAAGUAGUGUACAAAGACAGAGAAGCAGGCUCGCAUGGGGCAGGAAGGUGGGUAGCUUCAAACUUGGAAAGCAAUUUGUUGCAAGAUCAACUUGGAAUUUUGUAUAGACUGUAAAGGUUUUCUAACUUUUUUUUUCCCUGGUUUUUCAGGCCAAGAGUUUAGUGCCCCUCUUUCUUUUGAGUAAA